rnacentral:rRNA from 1 species
CCUACGGGUGGCAGCAGUGGGGAAUAUUGCACAAUGGGGGGAACCCUGAUGCAGCGACGCCGCGUGAGUGAAGAAGUAUUUCGGUAUGUAAAGCUCUAUCAGCAGGGAAGAUAAUGACGGUACCUGACUAAGAAGCCCCGGCUAACUACGUGCCAGCAGCCGCGGUAAUACGUAGGGGGCAAGCGUUAUCCGGAUUUACUGGGUGGAAAGGGUGCGUAGGUGGCAGGGCAAGUCAGAUGUGAAAGCCCGGGGCCCAACCCCGGUACUGCAUUUGAAACUGUCCGGCUGGAGUGCAGGAGAGGUAAGCGGAAUUCCUAGUGUAGCGGUGAAAUGCGUAGAUAUUAGGAGGAACACCAGUGGCGAAGGCGGCUUACUGGACUGUAACUGACACUGAGGCACGAAAGCGUGGGGAGCAAACAGGAUUAGAUACCCCGGUAGUC